ACACAUUUACUAUAAAAAAUAACAUUUUUAGCCAUUAAAGCUAAAGUAUGUAGGCACUCCCCAACCCACACCCGCCUUUUUUCCUAGAAAAGUGCCCUUUACACACCCUGUUUUUUUAAAGAAAUGCCUUUUUAAAUAUUAAUUUUGGGGGGUGGAGGGCAAAACCUUUUUUUUAAAAAACAGGUUUAAACCUAUAAAUAGAGGAACAAAAAACUGAACAAGACUGUUAAAGAAAUAUUGCUAAUACAAGACUUUUACCGUUAUGGGGAGCAACAACAUGGACGAGGCCUUUUUUCUUGACAUUCCAGAUGCCGCGCUACAAGCUUUAAACUUUGAACAAGAUGGAAGUCAAAACCACCCAAUAGUUUUCCUGAAAUUACAGAAGAAGACUCAUCAAGCGUUAUUCUUCAAAAAGAAAUGUUGAAGGGGAGCGCGCUUAAAGAGGCCAAGAAAUUUCCCUUUGAGGCAGCUGCAGUUGGAGGCAAGGGUAUUAAGCACAGCGAUUUUGAACAGCCCUGCGCGUCCAAAUCUCUUAUUGCACAAAACCAGCCGGUACUAAAAAAGGCCAAAAAGUCUACCUCUAAAACAGCAUUCGUUUUCAGGGAGGGGUUAAAGGGGCUCAGACCCCCCCCCCAGCUUUUGAACCACUCAAAGCUACCUCUACAACUUCCAGGAACCAUGGUAAGCGAGGCAGAGGAGUUAAAGCCCCUAGUUUUCAACAUACCUUUGCCUCCCCGACCCAAAACAAUUAGCUUUAAAAACAAACAACUCUGUGGAAGCAACCGUGUUUACGGCUGGUUUGAGCAGGGUGAAGAAGUUAACCCCUCG